UGAAACUUUACGAUCGUGAUGAAACUAAUUCUCCUCAAAUUACGAUUCCAUUCAAAUCAGCAAUUUUACUGAGAUGAGAUGCAACCAACAUCGGUAGAAAAAAAUUCCAAAAUAAUACGAAUGUUUCUUUGAGUUCCCAUCAACAUCCAGUAGCCAAUGCUGAGCCUAUUUUGAGCAAUGAACCUGCAGCUGCAGAUUGCGGCAAAAGUACAAAUAAGAUCUAUAUUUCCUUUCGGAGACUUUGGAGAUAUCUCGUACCCGUCGUAGCAGAGAAACCUAGCCAUGGCAGCAAUGAAGUUGGUUUUUCCAGUACCGGAAGCUCCGUAGAUGGUGGUAGUGGUAGAGGAAGAGGUAUGGAGAUGAAGAGUGGUCGAGAUAAGAUUUAUGCACUUGGAGUAUUAAUGAUCACAAGGAUGAAGAUGGAUUUUUAUGUAUGACUUACAGGGAAGAACACACUUAUGAGCAACAAUGUUUUAAGUAAAAUAAGAACUUUAAAGUUGUACAUUCUCAUAGCUUUGUCUCUUCAAACCAGUGUUCUCAUCCAAUUAAUGAUUAAACUCCAUUGAUGAUGUCUAUUGCAAUUAAUAAAUUCAAUGCCAUCAAUUAUAUUUUGAUGAAAAGCAUUAUCAUUA